UUCCGUAGGUGAACCUGCGGAAGGAUCAUUCGCACAAUGUUCUAUUCUACCUGCCACACGUCAUAGUGAUACCCCUGUCAUUCAGAAGGACGUUGAGUCCGUCUCAUCGAUGUUGCGAUCUCAUUGCAGCGCUUGCAGUGUUAUCUAUCUCUUGCAACGACGAAUGCCUUGGCUCGAGGAUCGUUGAAGGACGCAGCGAACUGUGUUACACAUCUCGAAUUGCAGAUUUCCGAGAAAGAUAAGGAUUCUGAACGCACUCUGCGAGUUGGCUUCGGUCAACUCACGUGGCUGGCGGUGACCGCAAUAUGCAGUCGUCCAACCUCUUGAAGUUAGGAUGGUCAUCUCAUGUUGUCGCUUGUAUUAGCGCCGACGUGAUCGUUGUAGUCAGCGUGCCUUUCGUUUCGAGCACCGAUUGUGGCUUCAGUCAUUGGGUGCUUGCUUCGGUUGGUUUGCAUUUGUUUGUUCAUUCAAACAUUUUUUCGCACGCUCACGACCAGUCACGGGGUUACCCGCUGAAUUUAAGCAUAUCAAUAAGCGGAGGA
rnacentral:rRNA from 1 species